GCCAGUGUAGUUCAGUUGGUAGAACGCGGGUUUUGUAAUCCCGAUGCCUUUAUGGAUUUCGCAUGUUCAAGUCAUGUCACUGGCUCCA
rnacentral:tRNA from 4 species